AGAAAAAAAAAAAAGAAAUGAAGAAAAAAAGAAAAUUUAGCCGUUCGAUUUUGAUUCCGAUUUCGGUAUUGUAUUUCUUGUUAUACGUAGAAGGUAGGAACAGGUAGCUCCUAUGAAUAAGCAUAUAGCUCAGCUGAUUUGAGUAAUCAGGUGUACGUUGGAGGAGAUUCGGAUGAGAUUGCAAAAGCUAAGGAGUGUUGAUAAGAGGUAUGCAUGGCACAUCCGAGACAGGGGAUGUAUCGGGAUAUAGAAAGACGAGCUGAGUGAGUGAACUUACGUCUAUUGUAUUAUAUGUAAAUUUUAUAAACCGGAAAAACCUCUUGUUAAGGGGUGUGGUUUGUAAAUAUUUAUAAAUAAGAUUUUGUUAUAUAA